rnacentral:rRNA from 1 species
AACGAACGCUGGCGGCAGGCCUAACACAUGCAAGUCGAGCGCCCCGCAAGGGGAGCGGCGGACGGGUGAGUAACGCGUGGGAACGUGCCCUUUGCUACGGAAUAGCCCCGGGAAACUGGGAGUAAUACCGUAUAAGCCCUACGGGGGAAAGAUUGAGCGGCAAUGGAUCGGCCCGCGUUGGAUUAGGUAGUUGGUGGGGUAAUGGCCUACCAAGCCGACGAUCCAUAGCUGGUUUGAGAGGAUGAUCAGCCACACUGGGACUGAGACACGGACCAAGCUCCUGCGGGAGGCAGAAGUGGUGAGUCUCAUACAAGGGGCGCAAGCUUGAUCUAGACAUGCCGCGUGAGCGAUAAAGCGCUUAGGGUUGUAAAGCUCUUUCGUGGGGGAAGAUAAUGACUGUACCCCAAGAAGAAGCCCCGGCUAUCUCCGUGCCAGGCGCCGCCGUAACAC